rnacentral:rRNA from 1 species
CAGCACCUCAAGUGGUCAGGAUGAUUAUUGGGCCUAAAGCAUCCGUAGCCUGCUUUGUUAGUUUUCGGUUAAAUCCAUACGCUCAACGUAUGGGCUGCCGGGAAUACUGCAGCGCUAGGGAGUGGGAGAGGUAGACGGUACUCGGUAGGAAGGGGUAAAAUCCUUUGAUCUAUUGAUGACCACCUGUGGCGAAGGCGGUCUACCAGAACACGUCCGACGGUGAGGGAUGAAAGCUGGGGGAGCAAACCGGAUUAGAUACCCGCGUAGUCC